rnacentral:rRNA from 1 species
AUUGAACGCUGGCGGCAGGCUUAACACAUGCAAGUCGAACGAUGAGUCUCUAGCUUGCUAGAGAUGAUUAGUGGCGGACGGGUGAGUAACAUUUAGGAAUCUACCUAGUAGUGGGGGAUAGCUCGGGGAAACUCGAAUUAAUACCGCAUACGACCUACGGGUGAAAGGGGGCGCAAGCUCUUGCUAUUAGAUGAGCCUAAAUCAGAUUAGCUAGUUGGUGGGGUAAAGGCCCACCAAGGCGACGAUCUGUAACUGGCCUGAGAGGAUGAUCAGUCACACCGGAACUGAGACACGUCCCGGACUCCGCGGGGGGGCACCAGGGGGGAAUUUUGGACAAGGGGGCCAACCUGGAUACAGCCAUGCGGGGUGUGGGAAGAGGUCUUUUUGUUUGUAAAGCAUUUAAGGCGGGGGGGAGGGGAUAUUGUUUAACACCUAUUGUAUUGGACGUUACCGGAAAAAUAAGCCCCGGCUAACUUUGUC